rnacentral:sRNA from 1 species
CCCGCCUGAUCGCUGAAUCCCCGCGCGUGCGGGGAGCGGGGGAACCACUUUCCUGGGGCGAAUCGCACCGAGGCUCCGACGGAGGUCGGAGGGGAGGAUGCGUAGGGGCACGCUUCGGCGCCCCGAGUCCGUCAGCUAACCUCGUAAGCGUGGCUGAGGCGGUGG